rnacentral:rRNA from 1 species
UACGGAGGAUCCGAGCGUUAUCCGGAUUUAUUGGGUUUAAAGGGUGCGCAGGCGGGAGAUUAAGUCGGCGGUGAAAUUUUGCAUCUCAACUGUAAAAGUGCCUUCGAAACUGGUUUCCUUGAGUGUGGAUGAAGUAGGCGGAAUUUGUGGUGUAGCGGUGAAAUGCAUAGAUAUCACGAGGAACUCCGAUUGCGCAGGCAGCUUACUAAACCAUAACUGACGCUCAGGCACGAAGGCGUGGGGAUCAAACAGGAUUAGAUACCCCUGUA